rfam:Rhodobacteraceae bacterium HLTCCA08 ITZX_scaf_49, whole genome shotgun sequence.
AACCCGCCUCAACGGCUUCCUGGCGAGGCGCGGAAACCCCCAAUGGAGCA